rnacentral:rRNA from 1 species
AUUGAACGCUGGCGGCAUGCCUUACACAUGCAAGUCGAACGGUAACAGGUCUUCGGAUGCUGACGAGUGGCGAACGGGUGAGUAAUGCAUCGGAACGAGCCCAGUAGUGGGGGAUAGCCCGGCGAAAGCCGGAUUAAUACCGCAUACGACCUGAGGGUGAAAGGGGGGGAUCGCAAGACCUCUCGCUAUUGGAGCGGCCGAUGGCAGAUUAGCUAGUUGGUGGGGUAAAGGCCUACCAAGGCAACGAUCUGUAGUUGGUCUGAGAGGACGACCAGCCACACUGGGACUGAGACACGGCCCAGACUCCUACGGGAGGCAGCAGUGGGGAAUUUUGGACAAUGGGCGCAAGCCUGAUCCAGCAAUGCCGCGUGCAGGAAGAAGGCCUUCGGGUUGUAAACUGCUUUUGUCAGGGAAGAAAUCUUCUGGGUUAAUACCUCGGGAGGAUGACGGUACCUGAAGAAUAAGCACCGGCUAACUACGUGCCAGCAGCCGCCGCGGUAA